rnacentral:rRNA from 1 species
CACGUAGGGUGCGAGCGUUGUCCGGAAUUAUUGGGCGUAAAGAGCUCGUAGGCGGUGUGUCGCGUCGGCCGUGAAAACCUGCAGCUUAACUGUGGGCUUGCGGUCGAUACGGGCAUCACUGGAGUUCGGCAGGGGGAGACUGGAAUUCCUGGUGUAGCGGUGAAAUGCGCAGAUAUCAGGAGGAACAGCCGGUGGCGAAGGCGGAUCUCUGGGCCUUACCUGACGCUGAGGCGCGAAAGCUAGGGGAGCGAACAGG